UACGAGGGGGGCAAGCGUUGUUCGGAAUUAUUGGGCGUAAAGGGUGCGUAGGCGGUUUGGUAAGUCUUGUGUGAAAUCUUCGGGCUCAACUCGAAGUCUGCACGAGAAACUGCCGGGCUUGAGUAUGGGAGAGGUGAGUGGAAUUCCUGGUGUAGCGGUGAAAUGCGUAGAUAUUCGGAGGAACACCAGUGGCGAAGGCGGCUCACUGGUCCAUUACUGACGCUGAGGUGCGAAAGCGUGGGGAGCGAACAGG
rnacentral:rRNA from 1 species